rnacentral:lncRNA from 1 species
GAGGGCUGUGUCCUCUGGAGCCCACUCCGCUGAGGGCUUGGGCCUGGAGUAUGCUUAGGGGCUGUGUUCUGGGGGAUUCCCUCUCCAGAGCCUUAGUAGCCUGUGGUCACCCCGAGCGUGCUUUCAACACACCCCAAACCUUUUGCUGCCUCCUGUUUCCCCAGGGCGGCAGGGAGGUGCUUUGCAGGGGUGUGGAUGAGCCAGGUGGUCCCUGCUCCGGAUGCUGAGCUGGCCAAGGCCCUGGGGCUCCCUCCUGGGCUAUUCCUCCCACCUCGGGCCCCAGGAAGCCCUGGCGUUGGAUCUUGCCCACUUUGUGGUGAGGGGCUCCAGGAGACUGCACUGCUGGUUUCCCGCGUGGGGUUCCCAGCUGGUCCAUGAAUUCACAGGGAGGCGAGGUGCCCUCUGUCUCUGAGAUCCUGAGAGGCCCACGUGCCCAGCUUUGGUGGAGCGCGUCAGGCCUGAGAGCAGCCCUGGCCUUGCUGUCCGAGCCACUUCUGUGCACGAUCUGCCCUGUUGCUGGCCAGCUGACCCCGAGGGCCAGGCCAGCCUCGUGACCUUGGGUGCACACCCCCACCGGGGCAGUGGGUAGGCAGGACACCUGCCGGCCUGUCAGGCCCUCCCCUGCCCUCUCCGGCUCACAGGUGGUCGCAGGAAGGGGGGCCCGUGCCCCCUGUAGCACAGACCCUUGGUGGACAUGUGGGGAUCGGGCUGGGGUGCAGCGGCCCUUCAGGGAGGGGCCUGUUCGUUUCCCACCCUUGCGGCAGGAGGUCCCCCGGACCGACUCGCCCCCUCUGUACUGGCAGCCCCAGCCUCCGCCCCCUGCCCAGGUCCCCCGGCCGCCCCAGCAGCUCUCCUCCUGCACAGUGUCCUCUCGGACCACUUUUCCGCAUGCAGGUCUCCUCUUUCCCGGCGUGAGACUCCUCCGGUUGGCCCACCCUUCCGGCUUGCCCCGUGCCCCUGAGGUUUACCUGGCCAGAAGCCCCCUGCACGUGUGGUCUCCUCUGCCCUCCCAGGCUUCUGCCCUGGGGCCGCGUUGGAGUGUUGAAUAAAUGAAUGAAAAGAGGCUCCCAGCUCCCGGGUGGAGCCUGGAGGGGGAGGCAGUGGGGUGCUGGGGGCCCUCCGCUGGCCGCCCGCUGCACCUUGGCUCCCUGCCACUCAGGGUGGGACCCCCACUGCGUGCUGUCUCUGCCCUCCCAGGCCAUGGGCACCGCAGCCUGCACUCACGUCCCCACUGUGAUGUGUGGGCUCCAGGCCUCCUGGCCGCAGCAGUCAACUGGGG